GGGGGUGACCUGGCUUCGACGUGGGUUGCGAAACCUGAGGUGCAUGCCGAGGUGCAGAAUUCCUCGUUAAUCCGUCUGCAAAACCAUAGUUGCCAACGAAGACAACUACGCUCUAGCAGCUUAAAAACCUGUUUAGUGCCCUCAGCCUGGCGUGUGCUUAUGCGCCCAGAUCACUGGGGUCGACUCACAUAAGAUCGCGCUGAAGUACGUCCGGGACGGAUGCGUUAAAACUUAACGGAAUCGCUGUCUGUUUUCCCCGCCUGUUGGGUAGCUUGCAGUUAAAUUAAUUAGCAGGAUAAGCAUGUAGAGCCGAUGGCAGAGGACUUGCGGACGCGGGUUCGACUCCCGCCACCUCCACCA
rnacentral:tmRNA from 1 species